CUUAAUGCCACCGGCUCACUCUUUGAGAACAGUGACCCUCCAUCCUCCCCAUUACCCCCUUGUCAUCCCACUCCUAACAUGUUUGAUGUUAUGCAAGUAUGUUCUACAGGGCAUCUGGUGUGGGGACCCGAGUUUAACACAACAUCGAAAACUGAGGUGUACUUCAUGGAUGGAUUCCCCGGACCUUACUUUCCUGCCCCCGUACCACACGUGCUGCAUAACGCCACCCUGCAGACGCAACUCCACCUGUGGAAGGCCGCCGCUGCUUUCGGAGAGGUCAUCCACAUGACGGACAAUUCCGCCCCUUUAGCGGAUAAUGCCACGAUCAACCGAGCGUGGUUUGACCGCCUCUUUAAAGAAGGAUACACAUGCACCGAACACCUUCACAAGGGACACUGCAACAACUUCACAAUUCAUACACAAACUGUCCGAAAUAUGGACAUGUUCCUCCUCUGUGAGAAUGCCACCAUAACUAACACCUCCCUUGGGCUUAACGUGACUUGCCCAAAUGGGGGGAAGCUCACCAACACACUCAUGUCCAUCAACAUAACUAAUGAGACCCGGGUGUUCGUGCUCACGACACCCCCUCUGACCUUCUUGCCGGUAGGAACGGACAAGCCUUUUGCCGACUCGGAUUUCUUUCGGGCUGUCCUGAACCGGGGUAAGAGGGGCUUUGAAGUGACUGCUGUGGACUUCAUUGGGCUAGUGGCCAGUCUGAUAGAACAAGUGGAGAUUAGCACCCUCUACAAGCGAGUAGGUCUAGUCGAAGAUAAUCUUAGGGAUUUUAUGCAGCUCACAACCAAGGCCUGGAUUGCCCAACAAGACAUUAAUAAAUUGGUGACCAUAGAAUUGUCGGCCCUUACAUCGGCCGUGCAAGCCUUAGCCACCCUCAUACAGGUUAACUCCGUGCUAGAGGGCCUCCCUUGCCAUCGUGUACUACCCAGGCCAAUGUGCAUGACGGCCGCCGUGCACAACGCAUCCAGGGAGCUGGAUGAGGCAAUCCGGACCUUGAAUGAGCAUAGCAAUAUGUCUGACUAUCUCAGACGCCUAGAAGAUAUAGUACUACAGAUAAAGAAUGAGACAGACCAAUAUAAGCAGCAGAUACAAAAGGACCAUGGCAUUCUCCCCGAGUGGUUUAACCAGCUUGAAUUGUCUAAUUGGCUUAAUUAUGUACUGAGUAUGGGAAGCAUGGUUUUCUUUCUCUUGGUCAUGUGUAUAUGCCUCCCCUGCUUGCUAUCUUACGUGGUACGGCUUUGGCGUAUGGUCUUAGAGCAAGUAAAAGCGGAUAUAUUCCUGCGUAAACAAAAAGGGGGAGUUGUUAGGGGCGGUCGGCCCUAGACGCCUGAGCGGAUAGGAACCUCCCUGGGAGUGAGAGCCCCCAAUCCCAGAAAGACACGGCUCCCUACACGGGGUACGUGUAAGGAUGGGAUUGGGCGAGACUCUUUGCUCCAUACAGGUGGCAGGUUUCGCCCUCGGGGCGGAUUGGGGUGGCCACCCGGAAGACAGACCCUAUAUAGACCAACGCCCCAGCUUGCUCGGGGG
rnacentral:lncRNA from 1 species